UGCGUAGGUGGUAUGGCAAGUCAGAAGUGAAAACCCAGGGCUUAACUCUGGGACUGCUUUUGAAACUGUCAGACUGGAGUGCAGGAGAGGUAAGCGGAAUUCCUAGUGUAGCGGUGAAAUGCGUAGAUAUUAGGAGGAACAUCAGUGGCGAAGGCGGCUUACUGGACUGAAACUGACGUUGAGGCUCAAAAAUAGUGGGUAGCAAACA
rnacentral:rRNA from 1 species